rnacentral:rRNA from 1 species
GAUGAACGCUGGCGGCGUGCCUAAUACAUGCAAGUCGAGCGAACAGACGAGGAGCUUGCUCCUCUGACGUUAGCGGCGGACGGGUGAGUAACACGUGGAUAACCUACCUAUAAGACUGGGAUAACUUCGGGAAACCGGAGCUAAUACCGGAUAAUAUAUUGAACCGCAUGGUUCAAUAGUGAAAGACGGUUUUGCUGUCACUUAUAGAUGGAUCCGCGCCGCAUUAGCUAGUUGGUAAGGUAACGGCUUACCAAGGCAACGAUGCGUAGCCGACCUGAGAGGGUGAUCGGCCACACUGGAACUGAGACACGGUCCAGACUCCUACGGGAGGCAGCAGUAGGGAAUCUUCCGCAAUGGGCGAAAGCCUGACGGAGCAACGCCGCGUGAGUGAUGAAGGUCUUCGGAUCGUAAAGCUCUGUUAUUAGGGAAGAACAAAUGUGUAAGUAACCAUGCACGUCUUGACGGUACCUAAUCAGAAAGCCACGGCUAACUACGUG